rnacentral:rRNA from 1 species
UAGUUAACCUAACCUAUGGAUGGGGAUAACCUCGGGAAACUGAGAAUAAUCCCCGAUAGACCACAAUGCCUGGAAUGGCUUGUGGUUCAAAUGAUUUAUCGCCGUAGGAUGGGACUGCGGCCUAUCAGCUAGUUGGUGAGGUAAUGGCCCACCAAGGCUAUAACAGGUACGGGCUCUGAGAGGAGGGGCCCGGAGAUGGGUACUGAGACACGGACCCAGGCCCUAUGGGGCGCAGCAGGCGAGAAACCUUUGCAAUGUGCGAAAGCACGACAAGGUUAAUCCGAGUGUCUUCUGCUAAAGAAGUCUUUUGUUAGUCAUAGAACCACUGAUGAAUAAGGGGUGGGCAAGUUCUGGUGUCAGCCGCCGCGGUAAAACCAGCACCUCGAGUGGUCAGGAGGUUUAUUGGGCCUAAAGCAUCCGUAGCCGGUUGUUUAAGUUUUCGGUUAAAUCUAUGCGCUUAACGUAUAGGCUGCCGAAAAUACUGGACAGCUAGGGAGUGGGAGAGGUACACGGUACUCAAUAGGAAGGGGUAAAAUCCUUUGAUCUGUUGAUGACCACCUGUGGCGAAGGCGGUGUACCAGAACACGUUCGACGGUGAAGGAUGAAAGCUGGGGGAGCAAACCGGAUUAGAUACCCGGGUAGUCCCAGCUGUAAACGAUGCAAACUCGGUGAUGCAUUGGCUUGUGGCCAAUGCAGUGCCGCAGGGAAGCCGUUAAGUUUGCCGCCUGGGAAGUACGUACGCAAGUAUGAAACUUAAAGGAAUUGGCGGGGGAGCACCACAAGGG